UUGAAAGGAUAAUCUUCAAUGGUUAUUUGAAUCUGCCUCUUUAGGAUAUUCUAGAUAUUGCUAUCCUCUGCAAUUUGGAAUCCAUGUUGUAAUGCAGUGCCAUGGUGAUGAAGCUUUGAAACUUAUGAUGCAAAGGAUGUCAGUAUGGUGCAAACCAGCUUGUCCAAUUGUGUUCGCAUGAAAAAAGAAAAGGUGGGGGCCAUGGAGUCUAGUCAAAUGGGUUUAAAUAUUCAAACUGGAAAGCUGUUCCACUGAAUCUUAUGAAUACCUCUUUUUUGUUUUUUUGUCCCAAAGAUAUCUAAGGGGAAAGUAAAAACAAAAUACCUAAGUUGACUAGGGAUACGGCCCAAUCCAGGUUAACCAUACUCACAAGAUCUCAAAUCUAUUUUGACCACAAGAAAUUGGUCCCU
rnacentral:lncRNA from 1 species